rnacentral:rRNA from 1 species
UAAGGGAUAUUGCACAAUGGGGGAAACCCUGAUGCAGCAACGCCGCGUGGGUGAAGAAGGCCUUCGGGUCGUAAAACCCUUUUCUAGGGGAAGAGGAAGGACAGUACCCUAGGAAUAAGUCUCGGCUAACUACGUGCCAGCAGCCGCGGUAAGACGAAGGAGGCGAGCGUUAUCCAGAUUUAUUGGGCGUAAAGGGCAAGUAGGCGGUUGUCAAAGUUGGGCGUGACAGACCCUGGCUUAACUAGGGGAGGGCGUUCAAAACUAGGCAACUAGAGGGCAGAAGAGGAAAGCAGAACUCCUGAUGUAGCGGUGGAAUGCUCAGAUAUCAGGAAGAAUACCAGUGGCGAAGGCGGCUUUCUGGUCUGCACCUGACGCUGAGAGGCGAAGGCCAGGGGAGCGAACG